rnacentral:rRNA from 1 species
UACGUAGGUGGCAAGCGUUGUCCGGAUUUACUGGGCGUAAAGAGCGCGCAGGCGGUCGUUCAAGUCGCGUGUGAAAGCCCCCGGCUCAACUGGGGAGGGUCACGCGAUACUGAUCGACUCGAAGGCAGGAGAGGGAAGUGGAAUUCCCGGUGUAGUGGUGAAAUGCGUAGAUAUCGGGAGGAACACCAGUGGCGAAGGCGGCUCACUGGCCCGGUACUGACGCUGAGGUGCGAAAGCGUGGGGAGCAAACAGGG